rnacentral:rRNA from 1 species
UUGAAGAGUUUGAUCAUGGCUCAGAUUGAACGCUGGCGGCAGGCCUAACACAUGCAAGUCGAGCGGUAGCACAGAGAGCUUGCUCUCGGGUGACGAGCGGCGGACGGGUGAGUAAUGUCUGGGAAACUGCCUGAUGGAGGGGGAUAACUACUGGAAACGGUAGCUAAUACCGCAUAACGUCGCAAGACCAAAGUGGGGGACCUUCGGGCCUCAUGCCAUCAGAUGUGCCCAGAUGGGAUUAGCUAGUAGGUGGGGUAACGGCUCACCUAGGCGACGAUCCCUAGCUGGUCUGAGAGGAUGACCAGCCACACUGGAACUGAGACACGGUCCAGACUCCUACGGGAGGCAGCAGUGGGGAAUAUUGCACAAUGGGCGCAAGCCUGAUGCAGCCAUGCCGCGUGUGUGAAGAAGGCCUUCGGGUUGUAAAGCACUUUCAGCGGGGAGGAAGGCGAUAAGGUUAAUAACCUUGUCGAUUGACGUUACCCGCAGAAGAAGCACCGGCUAACUCCGUGCCAGCAGCCGCGGUAAUACGGAGGGUGCAAGCGUUAAUCGGAAUUACUGGGCGUAAAGCGCACGCAGGCGGUCUGUCAAGUCGGAUGUGAAAUCCCCGGGCUCAACCUGGGAACUGCAUUCGAAACUGGCAGGCUAGAGUCUUGUAGAGGGGGGUAGAAUUCCAGGUGUAGCGGUGAAAUGCGUAGAGAUCUGGAGGAAUACCGGUGGCGAAGGCGGCCCCCUGGACAAAGACUGACGCUCAGGUGCGAAAGCGUGGGGAGCAAACAGGAUUAGAUACCCUGGUAGUCCACGCCGUAAACGAUGUCGAUUUGGAGGUUGUGCCCUUGAGGCGUGGCUUCCGGAGCUAACGCGUUAAAUCGACCGCCUGGGGAGUACGGCCGCAAGGUUAAAACUCAAAUGAAUUGACGGGGGCCCGCACAAGCGGUGGAGCAUGUGGUUUAAUUCGAUGCAACGCGAAGAACCUUACCUGGUCUUGACAUCCACAGAACUUAGCAGAGAUGCUUUGGUGCCUUCGGGAACUGUGAGACAGGUGCUGCAUGGCUGUCGUCAGCUCGUGUUGUGAAAUGUUGGGUUAAGUCCCGCAACGAGCGCAACCCUUAUCCUUUGUUGCCAGCGGUCCGGCCGGGAACUCAAAGGAGACUGCCAGUGAUAAACUGGAGGAAGGUGGGGAUGACGUCAAGUCAUCAUGGCCCUUACGACCGGGCUACACGUGCUACAAUGGCAUAUACAAAGAGAAGCGACCUCGCGAGAGCAAGCGGACCUCAUAAAGUAUGUCGUAGUCCGGAUUGGAGUCUGCAACUCGACUCCAUGAAGUCGGAAUCGCUAGUAAUCGUAGAUCAGAAUGCUACGGUGAAUACGUUCCCGGGCCUUGUACACACCGCCCGUCACACCAUGGGAGUGGGUUGCAAAAGAAGUAGGUAGCUUAACCUUCGGGAGGGCGCUUACCACUUUGUGAUUCAUGACUGGGGUGAAGUCGUAACAAGGUAACCGUAGGGGAACCUGCGGUUGGAUCACCUCCUU